rnacentral:lncRNA from 10 species
GGAACAUGAGUAUCAUGUACUGUGGUGUACCCAUGGAGCUGAGAUUUUGUGCAUGGUUGUGCAUGGAGUGACAGUGGCUCUGGGGUCAGGAGCACUGACUAGGCUGUAGUGGUGGUGGCUCCAGUUUCUGAGACAGGGUACACACAGAACAGUUGUAGAGCCAAGUCUGUAGCACGGGCAUAAACAAAGCAGCUUUGGAGCUGGGGACUGAAAUGGAGACAUACUCAGAACCAAAUCUGCUCUGGGGUUCAGGGCAUGUGUGUGUUGUGGGUGGCAGCUCUGGUCCCGGUGUACCACAACAGCAACUCUUUUGGAGGGGAGUAACAGUAGCUCUCUCUGCAGGGGUCUAUGGCAGCUAUGGCUGUCCAUUACCUCACUGGUGAAAGCUGCUAGUAUCUUCUGUGAAAUAAGCCAUUAAAGUUGGAGCUGACAAAUACAUGGGAUCCUCCACUUUAAAAGCUGUGGGAAAACCAUGAUGUCAUGGAUGCUUUUGAGGUCCUCAGCAGCAAAGGCUGCCAGGGUUAUCCACAGAGCAGGUCUCUGGGAGCUGUGAUGGCACCCACCACAUGGCUGAUACAGAUCACCACCACCAUUUUAAUUUGUUCAUAGCCAUCUCCAGAUCUCUCCACUAAGCGGAUCUCCUGAGCAAUCUAUUUCUGUCUGAUCAUCCUCCCUUUUUUACUGUAGGUUCUUGAUUGGACUCUUCAGCCCUCCUAGAGAUAUUUUCAUUCAUGGACAGCUGUCUAGUUGUUGAUUUUUCUUGUCAGAUGAUGGUUGGUAACUUCUACUCUACCAUCUUUUUGACUUCACAUUGGAAAUCUCAUUUCCUUUAGCUAUCACCCCUUGUUCCCCAUCCACCCAUGUCAUAAGCAACCACUAAUCUACUUUCUGUCUGUAUAGAUCUGUCUAUUCUGGACAUUCAUAUAAAUGGAAUUAUACAAUAUAUCAUCUUUUAUGAAUGACUUCUUCCACUUGGUAUAAUGUUUUCAAGAUUCAUCCACAUUGUAGCAUGUAUCAGGACUUGUCUUAAUUUGUUUUCUGUUUUUUUUUUUUAUAACAGAAUACCUAAAACUGGGUAAUUUAUUGAAAAAAGGAAUUUAUUUCAUACAGAUAUGGAGGCUGAGAAGUCCAAAGUCUAGAGGCCAAAUCUGGUGAGAGCCUUCUUGCUGAUGCGGACUCUAUGCAAAGUCCUGAAGCAGUGCAAGAUAAUAAACACAUGUGCAAAUUUUUACGUGGACAUCAGCUUUCAUUUCCUAUGGGUCUAGCCUUAUGCCAGUACCACACUCUCUUGAUUACUGUUGUGCUGUAGUAAAUUUUGAAAUUAUAAAUUUGUAUUCCUCCAACUUUGUAUUCUUUUUCAAGAUUGUUAUUGUUUUUUUCAAUUCUUUUUCAAGACUUUAUCAAUUCUUUUUCAAGAUUGUUAUUUUUUUUCAAGAUGAUAUGUUUAUCUUUUUAUCUCAAAGACAG